UACGGAGGGUGCGAGCGUUGUCCGGAAUCAUUGGGCGUAAAGGGCGCGUAGGUGGCACGAUCAGCGUGCGGUGAAAGCUCGGGGCUCAACCCCGGGUCGGCCGUGCGAACUGCUGGGCUGGAGCACUGUAGAGGCAGGCGGAAUUCCGGGUGUAGCGGUGGAAUGCGUAGAGAUCCGGAAGAACACCGGUGGCGAAGGCGGCCUGCUGGGCAGUGAGCUGACACUGAGGCGCGACAGCGUGGGGAGCAAACAGG
rnacentral:rRNA from 1 species